AAAAAAAAAAAAAAAAAACACCCAUACACACACUCUUUGCCUUGUUUUUCUUAACAUACUUUUCCUUUUAAAUGUUUGAAGAUUUAUUACAUAAUGUAUUUCUCAUUAAUUUUCCCCACAUGUAUUUUAAACUCGAAGGAAUAGUUCAUGCUUACAAUACUUUCUUAACAAAAAAGAUUCUUGCUUCUGAUAGCUGAUAAUGUUUACCUUGUUUGCAG
rnacentral:misc_RNA from 1 species